AUUGAACGCUGGCGGCAUGCCUUACACAUGCAAGUCGAACGGUAACAGGUCUUCGGAUGCUGACGAGUGGCGAACGGGUGAGUAAUACAUCGGAACGUGCCUAGUAGUGGGGGAUAACUACUCGAAAGAGUGGCUAAUACCGCAUGAGAUCUACGGAUGAAAGCAGGGGAUCGCAAGACCUUGUGCUACUAGAGCGGCCGAUGGCAGAUUAGGUAGUUGGUGGGAUAAAAGCUUACCGAGCCGACGAUCUGUAGCUGGUCUGAGAGGACGAUCAGGCACACUGGGACUGAGACACGGCCCAGACUCCGACGGGAGGCAGCAGUGGGGAAUUUUGGGCAAUGGGCGCAAGCCUGAUCCAGCAAUGCCGCGUGCAGGAUGAAGGCCUUCGGGUUGUAAACUGCUUUUGUACGGAACGAAAAGCCCUGGGUUAAUACCCUGGGCACAUGACGGUACCGUAAGAAUAAGCACCGGCUAACUACGUGCCAGCAGCCGCCGUAA
rnacentral:rRNA from 1 species